GGGGCCGUAGCUCAGCUGGGAGAGCGCUAGAUUUGCAUUCUAGAGGUCAGGGGUUCGAUCCCCCUCGGCUCCACCA
rnacentral:tRNA from 1 species